rnacentral:lncRNA from 1 species
GGCGACCGGAUAAGUGCAACCGAAUCGGCCUAGCCUUAUCCGCAUAGGCUAGGCAUUCGUCCCUGCGCAGCUUUCAAUAUGCAACGUAAAAAUCUAUUUUUGCAAUAGGGGUUUUUGUCCAGAACCGAAACGAUGGAAGCCAAAAGCACAAUAAAUAGCUUGAAGGACGACUCGCACCACACGAGACUUGACGCUUCACCAACUACUCAACCCAGAUCAGGUAUCGUAAGGCAUGGCAGUGCAGAAGAAAACUCGCGGCCGCAAAUGCCUGUCAAUGACCGAUUCCCUUACUCUGGGAAUUUACACUUUUUCCUAAGAGGCAAUCAGGCCCAUCAACGCGGGCAAUCCACAUAGCGGUUUACAGCACAGGCGAACGUGCGACCUGCAGUCGUGCAGGUAUCCUCAAAAAGUCACCUCUCACACUCUGCUGUGGAACUGAUGAGGCCUGAUAACGGAUUUCGCGGAGCCGCCACACAUUCCUUCAUGCCAGGGGAUGAAGGGGACCUAAUAUGUGCUCACAAUGUUCGACAUCACACAGUAAACAGUUGUCGCACGCUGACUGAGCCCCACUAGGUGAACCAAACACAGCCACCCAAAAUGCAUGCAUCUGCCAAUACCGUACCCCAGGCAUUUCCAAGCAGAUCCAAGAAGACCUUCCAACCUGUUUUGUCAUCUGAAUUACCCCGGGACGAAGAAAAAGAGAGUUCGCCUGUAGCUGACCAAUGAAGACCGGUCCGAGAAUGUUUGACACCUUUGACAACGUAACUAAGGAAAUGACCGUGGGGAAGGCGAACGGCGGGCGGUGGGCAGGAGGCAUAUGAGGACAGACAGCCGGC